UUUUCGCCGAAGUACUGCUCGGACAGGAAGUCGUCUCUGAACAGCAGCUGGGAACACUGGACGUCCUCCGCCUCGGAGCCCACCUCGACGGCUGGAGAAAAAGGGAAACGAGGUGAUCAAAUGGGAUUACCUUCGCUUGACCUCCGCCAGGACAGCACCGUCGUGCCUCCAGGUGACCGUGUGCAUGCCCGAGAUGGCAGCGAACUGACACCACAGACUAAGACUUUGGGGGUCCUCACUCACGGAUGCUGCCUGGAUGGGUUGCGUGACCUUCGGCUCUCCCUCCUCGCACGCCAGGAUGAUCCAGGCGAUCGCCAGAGCCCACAUUGGUCUGUGUAACCCCUGGUAGAGCGCAUGCG